rnacentral:rRNA from 1 species
CAGUAGCCGCGGUAAUACGAAGGGGGCUAGCGUUGUUCGGAUUUACUGGGCGUAAAGCGCACGUAGGCGGAUCGAUCAGUCAGGGGUGAAAUCCCAGAGCUCAACUCUGGAACUGCCUUUGAUACUGUCGAUCUGGAGUAUGGAAGAGGCGAGUGGAAUUCCGAGUGUAGAGGUGAAACUCGUAGAUAUUCGGAGGAACACCAGUGGCGAAGGCGGCUCACUGGUCCACUACUGACGCUGAGGUGCGAAAGCGUGGGGAGCAAACAGGAUUAGAUACCCGAGUAGUCCCUGUCUCUUAUAC